rnacentral:rRNA from 1 species
GAUGAACGCUGGCGGCGUGCCUAAUACAUGCAAGUCGAGCGAACAGACGAGGAGCUUGCUCCUCUGACGUUAGCGGCGGACGGGUGAGUAACACGUGGAUAACCUACCUAUAAGACUGGGAUAACUUCGGGAAACCGGAGCUAAUACCGGAUAAUAUAUUGAACCGCAUUGUUCAAUAGUUAAAGACGGUUUUGCUGUCACUUAUAGAUGGAUCCGCGCCGCAUUAGCUAGUUGGUAAGGUAACGGCUUACCGAGGCAACGAUGCGUAGCCGACCUGAGAGGGUGAUCGGCCACACUGGAACUGAGACACGGUCCAGACUCCUACGGGAGGCAGCAGUAGGGAAUCUUACGCAAAGGGCGAAAGCCUGACGGAGCAACGCCGCGUGAGUGAUGAAGGUCUUCGGAUCGUAAAACUCUGUUAUUAGGGAAGAACAAAUGUGUAAGUAACUAUGCACGUCUUGACGGUACCUAAUCAGAAAGCCACGGCUAACUACGUG